AGGAGAGGGAGGAAGGGAGGAAAUGGAGGGACCGCCAUUACGGAAUGCCGAGUUAGUUUCUGCUAACCCUAGAGAUUCGGUUUCUCUCUCUUCUGCUAAGUUUCUAUUUAUUCUCUUCCUAUUUAUCUUCCUUUUUCUCCUUCUGGGCAUUAAGGAGGGUGAGGGCGCGGGGUUCAGUGAGAGAAAUCUCCUCUGAUCUUUCAGUCUCCCUCUCCCUCUCUUCAGGCGAGGAGUAUGGAGUGGUGGGAUAAGGUGGUGUUUCCCUGGAUGAGAGCAUUGAGGAGAGUCUGGAGCGACGUCGCUACCGGUCUUGGUAUUCAUAAGAGGGAGCUAUUGCAACUCCGCCAAGCUGUACAAAAAUGUGAGUCUGAAGAUGUGCAUGUGAUGUGGGAGAUGCUGAAGAGGACGGACACUGAGGUUGCUCAAUCUACGACCAAGAAACCUAAGAGGGCCCUUUUGAAAGUUUUCAUGUGGGCCAAAAGUGCUCCCCGACUCUGCCAUGCCUUCUGAUUCAACAGCUGAUUAUCAUCUAAUAGUUUGCUGAGUUUCUUUCACCCGCUUUCAACGUUAAUGCUGAUGACAGAUUUCCCAGCACAAAGGAUAGAAAGAGGAAGAUAUGAUAUUACCCUUUUGUUUGGGUCAUCACUUGUAGAUUUCAUCCCAUCCCCACCUCAUGAGAUUCUUUUGCGUUGUUCUUAUGUAUGAUCACCAGCAUACAUAGAUUUUGGAUAUGUUCCUCCUCUUUGUUUCUAUCUAUAUACAUAACAUAUAUUGAACCAAGGGUUUUGGUUUGAAAGAGUUA